GUGGGGAAUAUUGGACAAUGGGCGAAAGCCUGAUCCAGCCAUGCCGCGUGUGUGAAGAAGGUCUUCGGAUUGUAAAGCACUUUAAGUUGGGAGGAAGGGCAGUAAGUUAAUACCUUGCUGUUUUGACGUUACCGACAGAAUAAGCACCGGCUAACUCUGUGCCAGCAGCCGCGGUAAUACAGAGGGUGCGAGCGUUAAUCGGAUUUACUGGGCGUAAAGCGCGCGUAGGUGGUUCAGUAAGUUGGAAGUGAAAUCCCCGGGCUCAACCUGGGAACUGCUUUCAAAACUGCUGAGCUAGAGUACGGUAGAGGGUGGUGGAAUUUCCUGUGUAGCGGUGAAAUGCGUAGAUAUAGGAAGGAACACCAGUGGCGAAGGCGACCACCUGGACUGAUACUGACACUGAGGUGCGAAAGCGUGGGGAGCAAACAGGAUUAGAAACCCCUGUAGUCC
rnacentral:rRNA from 1 species